rnacentral:rRNA from 1 species
AUAACGUUCGGAAACGGACGCUAAUACCGCAUACGUCCUACGGGAGAAAGCAGGGGACCUUCGGGCCUUGCGCUAUCAGAUGAGCCUAGGUCGGAUUAGCUAGUUGGUGGGGUAAUGGCUCACCAAGGCGACGAUCCGUAACUGGUCUGAGAGGAUGAUCAGUCACACUGGAACUGAGACACGGUCCAGACUCCUACGGGAGGCAGCAGUGGGGAAUAUUGGACAAUGGGCGAAAGCCUGAUCCAGCCAUGCCGCGUGUGUGAAGAAGGUCUUCGGAUUGUAAAGCACUUUAAGUUGGGAGGAAGGGCAGUAAAUUAAUACUUUGCUGUUUUGAGUUACCGACAGAAUAAGCACCGGCUAACUCUGUGCCAGCAGCCGCGGUAAUACGAAUCACUAGUGAAUUCGCGGCCGCCUGCAGGUCGACCAUAUGGGAG